UACGUAGGGUGCGAGCGUUAAUCGGAAUUACUGGGCGUAAAGCGUGCGCAGGCGGUUUUGUAAGCCCGAUGUGAAAGCCCCGGGCUUAACCUGGGAAUGGCAUUUGGGACUGCAAGGCUGGAGUUUGGCAGAGGAGACUGGAAUUCCUGGUGUAGCAGUGAAAUGCGUAGAUAUCGUAAGGAAGACCAGUGGCGAAGGCGGGUCUCUGGACAGUUCCUGACGCUGAGGCACGAAGGUCAGGGGAGCAAACGGG
rnacentral:rRNA from 1 species